UACGUAGGGGGCAAGCGUUGUUCGGAAUGACUGGGCGUAAAGGGUGCGUAGGCGGUGUAGCAAGUUAGAAGUGAAAUACCUAGAGCUUAACUCUGGUGCUGCUUCUAAAACUGCUAUACUUGAGUGCAGUAGAGGAAAGUGGAAUUCCUAGUGUAGCGGUGGAAUGCGUAGAUAUUAGGAGGAACAUCAGUGGCGAAGGCGACUUUCUGGACUGUAACUGACGCUGAGGCACGAAAGUGUGGGGAGCAAACAGG
rnacentral:rRNA from 1 species